UUUUAGUACUAGAGCCACUGAGGCAAAGUAACAGCUAUUUUUAAUAAUUUAAUGUACCGUAUUUUUCGGACUAUAAGGCGCACUUAAAAACUUUUAAUUUUCACAAAAAUUGACAGUGCGUCUUAUAAUACGGUGCGCCUUUUGUAUGGAUUUUACCCGUCAGGUUGUAAGGAGCAGUAAACACACACUCGGUGCAGCGUUAUAGAGAGUUUCAGUGCUAUACAGAGUCCAGAGCCGUGCAGCUCCGAGGCUGGAGCAGCAAUAGCAUUAGCUAGCUUAUUCACUGUUCAGAGAUCAGUAUUAUCUAAAUUAUCUAAAGUAAACACACACUCCGUGCAGAGCCGUGCAGCUCCGUGGCUGGAGCAGCAAUAGCAUUAGCUAGAUGCUAACCGCUAAGCUAGCUAGCUUUUUCACUGUUCAGAGAUCAGUAUUAUCUAAAUGUAGUACUUUUAAUACUGCUGGAGCAGUAUUAUUAGAGUUAGAUGCUAAUCGCUAAGCGUUCACCGUUCAGAGGACACCAUUAAGAAACUGAGAGAUGAAAAUGCCUACCUUCAACACAGACUGGAGAACAUCACUCAAGCACUGCGUGAGCUGAGGAACCUGAUCUUGGAUCACUCGAAAGACGGAGGAUUCUCAGGGACCAGUGUAGACCAUAAGAGUGAGCAGCUGCAUGCCUGGAAUGAAUGGAUUCGAAAUGGUAUCAGUGCUGAGACGCAUGUCAUGUUGCAGCAGGCAUUCUGUUGGAGUGAUCUUCAUAGCUCUGCUGAUCUAUGGCUGCCAAUACACUUAUGUCUUAUUCUUCUUUCUUGCAACUUCUUGUUUAACUUCUUGUUAAUUUAGCAGGAGUUCAUAACUGUGUACACUGAUUACAGCCUGUUUACUGGCCAAUCAACAGGCCUAACAUUUUUAUUAUUAGUUUACUGUUUGAUCAUUUGAAUUUGUAGUAUAUUUAGUGUUUAGUGAUUAGUAUAGAGUUUUAUAUACAUUUUUGCAAUCAAUGCUGCAAUGUAAAAGUUUUGUAAUUUGAAUAAAAAUAUGGAU
rnacentral:lncRNA from 1 species